rnacentral:rRNA from 1 species
GAUGAACGCUGGCGGCGUGCUUAACACAUGCAAGUCGAACGGAAAGGCCCAAGCUUGCUUGGGUACUCGAGUGGCGAACGGGUGAGUAACACGUGGGUGAUCUGCCCUGCACUUCGGGAUAAGCCUGGGAAACUGGGUCUAAUACCGGAUAGGACCACAUUUUGGAUGGUGUGGUGGAAAGUUUUUCGGUGUGGGAUGAGCUCGCGGCCUAUCAGCUUGUUGGUGGGGUAAUGGCCUACCAAGGCGUCGACGGGUAGCCGGCCUGGGAGGGUGUACGGCCACAUUGGGCAUGGGGGACGGGCCAGACUCCGACGGGAGGCAGCAGCGGGGAGUAUUGCACAAAGGGCGCAAGCCUGAUGCAGAGGCGCCGCGUGGGGGAUGACGGCCUUCGGGUUGUAAACUCCGUUCGCUAGGGACGAAGCGUUAUGUGACGGUACCUGGAGAAGAAGCACCGGCUAACUACGUG